rnacentral:ncRNA from 1 species
UCAUUCGCUAGGCAAACUUACCGAAAGGCAAGGGCGCAAAGUCACCGGCCUAAGGGAAACCCUAAAGGAAACUAUGGCAGCGGGACUGCGGCA